rnacentral:lncRNA from 1 species
CUUUGACUUAUACUUUUUUGGCUUCCUUCUCCAGCAAGAAAUAGUUGGAAGAGAAGUUUCACUAGCACUUCUUAAGAAGACAACAACAGAUAGUUUGUGAAGUCCUCUCUAUUCUAGCAACGAGUGUCUAGCAUGGUGUCUAGCAACAUGUUUGUCAUUGAUCCCAGCAAACAACCCAAAGAUUGAGGCAAAAGUCGUGGUGUCGAAUGCAUCAAAAGAACAGAAGUGCCCUUUCAGCUCUUCUCUGUGCCAUUC